ACAGAAGCCCCAUCCCCACAGCCACAGGCACCAAGGCGAGAGAGAAAGAAAGAGCAGGGAGGCGGGCGAAGCGCAGGGAGAGAAGCAGAGAAGAAAUAUUCACCUUCCCGCCUCAUGCCCACUUUGAGGCACUUCUUGAGGCGGCAGUAUUGGCACUGGUUGCGGUGGUGCUGGUCGAUGGGACAGUUCCUGUUGGCACGGCAUGUGUGGCCAUGGAAUGGUGUAGCAGAUUGCUGCAGAUGGUUUCAAUAGUUCUGCUGAAUGCUCCUUGUUUGUGCCUGCAAGAGGAACUCAAGGCUUUAUGUAUGGCCAUUGCUGUGACCUAGUGUGAUGCUCUACUUUUCCACUGAACUCUGCUUGCUCUAACUGAGGACCUUAGCUAUAAUUUAGCCUUUUCUUUUUAUAUUAAGCUGUUGUUGAGGAAGGAGCUUUGGCAAUAGAAGAAACCAAGCAGCAGGUUAAUUUCCACUGUUGACACAACUGGAAACGGAUCCCUACUUUAUGCAUUGGAGAUGCUAUGAAGACUACUCUGUCUGAUGUUUCCCUAUUGGGAUAGUGAAGUAUGAUGCUUCAUUGGUUGAGUGUAUGCAAUCAAAGUAAGAGUGAAAAAGGAAGAUCUGAGGAGUGGGCAGAUGCCUGCCGGGUAAACUAUUUGUGGCAUAAACUUGAGGACCCCACAGGAAAGCCAGAUGUUGUCAUGUGCUUCAAACCACAAUUCUGCUAUUGAAUGGGGGAUUACUGGUCAGUGACUAGCCAAAAUGGUGAGCUUCAUGUGCUGAGAGAACUACCUAUCUCAAAAAAAUAAGGUGAAAGGGCUAGAGAGGUGGCAAAGUAGCACUGACUGAUCUCUCAGAGGAGAACGUGGAUUCAACUCCUAGCACCCACAUAGCAGCCAACAACCAUCUGUAACUCCAGUCUCAGGGGAUUUAGUGCCUUCUUAUAUCCUCAGUGAACACUGCACAUAUAUUGUGCAUAGACAUACAUUCAGUCAAACAAACACUCAGACACAUAAAAAUAAAUGAAAUCUCAAAAUAUUUUAAAAAGAUAAUGUGGAGGGUGAUUGAGGCCUUAUAUUAAUCUUUAGACUUUACAAAAUGAGUUUUACACACACACACACACACAGAAAACACACAAACACACUAUAUGUACACACACAUAUAUACACUGACACACACACUUGAAAAAUUGUUAUUGCUUAAAAUUUUUUUGAUAACUUGUCUCAGAAUUUUUAUUAUUGAUUUUAUUAUAAUAUUAAUUUUUAGUCUACAGUAAAUCUUUAUGCUGGAACUAGACUUCAGGAUUAUUAUAAGAUAUAUUUAAUGUAUAAAUUUGAGUUCAUAAUUGUGAGAAUAAUUCUUUUAUGGUUGUGGUAAUAAAGUAUCAUUAUCUUCUUAGAUCUAAUGUAAGAUUCAAACUCUGACCCACUAACUUCCAAGUCCCUUCUUAAAAGUGCUGUAUUAAACUGCAUGAAGCUUUUUUUCCCUUUUUUCUUUUUCAAGUCAGGGUUAUUUUGUGUAGUCCUAAUUGUCCCGGAACAAUGGUUGCCUGUGAGCCCCAGCAUCUGUAAUAGUCAGGAUCUGGCAGAGCCUCUCAGGAGACACUGUAUCAGGCUCCUGUCAGCAAGCACUUCUUGGCAUCAGAAAUAGUGUCUCGGUUUGGUGUUUGCAUAUGGGAUGGAUCCCCAGGUGAGGCAGCCUCUGGAAGGUCUUUUCUUUCAGUCUCUGCUCCACUUUUUGUCCCUGUAUUUCCCUCAGAAAGGAGCAAUUCUGGGUUAAAAUUUUUGAGAUGGGUGGGUGGUCCCAUCCCUCAAGUGGGAUGCCAUGCCUAACCUCGAGAUAUGGUCUCAACAGGUUUUCAUUCCCCUUUGUGGGGCAUUUCAGCUAAUGUCAUCCCCAUGGGGUCCUGGGAGGCUCUUGCUUUCCUGGCAUUUGGGACUUUCUGGUUGCUACCCCCAGUUCUGUGAGGAGAGGGUGUGGCAGUAGUCCCAAUAUGGCGCCUGGGACUGUGACUAAGUCUUAUGACUUGCACCUGACUUCCUCAUACACCUGAAAAUAAGCCAUGACCAUCGUGAGAACUGUGCAGGUGCACCAUGAUGCUGGCGGUGUAAACAAGUCCAUAUUUGGUGGAGAUGUGCCCCUGCCGCCCUAAUUGGCUGAAGCCACGUGCCUGGUGAGGUGACAUGGCCUGCCGUGAGUGGAUGGGGGCUGAGAGUAUAUAAGAGUGAGAGGCCUGGGGUUCAGGGGGGAAGAGAUGAAGAGGGAGAGAGAUGAAGACUGAAGAUUGCUGAAUAAACUACUGUUAGAAG
rnacentral:lncRNA from 1 species